GUUAAUUUAGCUUAAUUGGAAGAGCUACUGAUUUGUAAUCAGUUGGAUAAGAGUUCGAAUCUCUUGAUUAACU